UGUGCACUGCGAUGUGGUUGCAGUACAGAGACUUGCAUGAAGAAUGGCUUGACUGGACCCCUGGUACUUUAUUUAAUGACUUUCAUGGAGACUGGCUGAACUGGACCUAGGUACCCAGCUGUACUGACGUGUGGACCAAGCUGUUGUGAUGUCAUUGCUACAUGUGCAGAAAUUGAAUCCUGUUGCCAAGACUGAAGAAGGACUGAAGAAGUUAGACUCGCAGGUAAUAUUAUGAAGCCCCAGCUAUCAACGAAGGAUUAUACUGUAUUGGAAUGACCUAUUAAUGUUAAUGCAAUACAGUAAUGUUUAGUACUAUACAUUGCAGGAGUUUAAUUUAUACACUUGUUUCUAAAGGUGAAGCUCUGACAUUAAGUAUAAAGGCUGAACUUGUUUAUUAAAUCACUAUUUCCUAUACUCAAAAUUUGUCUUUUUUGAUGUCAACUUGACACAUGAAGUCUUGUCAUCAGUACUUCAGCCUCAUUCUAGCCAGUCAUGAUUGUAAAUGGACUACACAAACUUGUUUUUGGUUCUGUAUAAGUGUCUUAAAUGGUUUGUUCUUAGAAAAGGAGGUAGCUACAAAAAAAAAGAAAUA